rnacentral:lncRNA from 1 species
UUUUGUUUUUUUUGCCUCAGAAUUGCUUUGUCAAUUCUGGGUCUUUUGUGGCUCCAUAUAAAUUUUUGUAUUGUUUGUUCUAGUUCUGUGAAAAAUGUCAUGGGUUAUUUGAUAGGGAUUGCAUUGAAUCUAUAGAUUGCUUUGGGUAAUAUGGCCAUUUUUACAAAAUUAAUUUUUCUAGCCCAGGAGCAUGGGAUAUCUUUCCAUUUCUUUACAUCUUCUUUAAUUUCCUGAUUAAUGUUUUAUAGUUCUCAGAAUAUAAGUCUUUUACCUCCUUGGUCAGGUGUUAGAAUAUGUUUCUUAGAUAAGGAAAUGACCAUCAUAUUCCUAUUUUUAUGCAGCCACCUUAGGGAAAACAUUUUAUGACCCUUUUGGAAUCUUUCCUGGGGCAUUUUCUUUAUCUUCACUUCUUUUCUAUUUUUUGUCUUAAAUAAUUUUAAGUAACAUUGCUUACUUGCUUUAUUUAAAAUAAGCCACAUUUCUAUUUAGAGAUGCAAAACAUUUCUAUUACAGAAAAACAGAAAAUAUAAACAUAAGAAAAAAAAUUAACAGCAUGCUUCUUCCAAUCCAGAGAUAGCAACUUAUUGAAUUAUCUAACCCCACUUCUGUGCAUAGAUUUGUAAUUUAUAUGUAGAUAGGAAGAAAUGAUCUCUAGCUAGAUGGCACGUGAACUAGAUGAUACAUAGAGAUUAAAUGUUUUAAGUUAUGCAACCAACUGUUUUGAAGCUGAGAUUUCUUUGGCUUUAUAGCAUUUUUUCCCCUUGAAUUCUGAAGCUCUGAAUGCUCCAUUCUGAGCUGUUAAAAAAUUAUGAAUUUUUAACAUGUCCAAGGAUGAAUUAAUACUCCCAGAUUAUAUUGACUAUUUGUGAGCCAUGCUGGUUUUGGAAAGCUUUUACGUUUUAAAUACUCAGGGAGGUAGGUGAAAUUCACACCCUAAAUUCAGACCUGAUUCAAGACUCAACUUGAGGUUUCUCUUGGGCAUCCGCCACAGCUCUGAAUGGCAAUGCUUCAUUUCAUCCAUCUCAGAAAUCACCUUUCCUGGUUCCUUACCACUGCUCCAUGGGGAAACUUAUUCUCAGGGAAAGCUCUGAUGCAGGAGGUGCAACCUCCAUUUUAAGUUAGUUAAACCUCCUGGACUAGAAUCUGAGUACAGGGUUAAAAAACAAACAAAAGAAAACAGAAGGGGACAUUCAUGUCAUCUCUCUCCAGGAGAUUUCUUUUUAAAUUAAAUAGCCACCCUCUUCUCCCAAAGACAUUAGAUUCUAAAAAAUAUAUUUAAAUAGCACCCAGAUUACAAUUCCUCCUGAUAACAACCAGGAAAUUGAACUGAGCCUGUCAUUCUUUCCUUAACUUGGACUGUUCUGGCUUAUUCCUUUACAAGUUUAUGAGUUAACAGUGAGGCACAGGCUGAACUUCCUAUUUCCUGGCUGGUGUUCACUGAUGUCAUGAAUUUGUUGAAAUACGACUUUAAAACACCAUCACUGUGCGUUUGCUCCUGGUCAAAAUCUGAUGGCAGCUUCCUUUGUUAGAUUUAGUCCUUUUAGUCCUUUCUCAAUUUGCUGUCUGUUUCCCUUUCUGUUCAAAAGUACAGGAUUUGGUGGAACCCACUACCCUGAGGGAUACUGAGUAGCACUUAAAAUUAUUUGAUAACAGAAAACUGUCUUCAGUCACUUUGUAGCAAAGCCAUGGUGAGGUCUGCAACAUUAUAUAUUUAAAUUUCUCUUGUUAUAGAAAAACAAUACAGAAGUGAGGUCCAGAUAAAACCCAUCGCUUCCGAGAGCAGGAUCACCCCCUUCCACACAAUCACAUUCAUUUCCAGCUUCCCUUUUGACCAUCUGUGGAGCUUUGGGGAAAGUGGAAUUAAAUCUGGAGAUUUUCAUUUGUCUUGAUUUUCUUGCUCAGGGUAAACUGUUUCAAAGAAAGUUGAAAUGAGACUAACAUUUUCCAAAGUGUCUACCUUUCAGUCUCACUGCAGAAAAGCUCUGGAAUUUUUUUCACUGUGCUGAAAUACCAUGACACCUGUCUAGACCAAUUAUGGUGAGAGAGUGGUUGAGGCUCUGCAAUAGAAAUGAUGGAUGUGCCUGGGAUGGUUUUAGUGACUCAUUAGCCAAAUGCUACAAAGAUAUAAAAGUUUUCGUGGUUUUUAUUUUCAUUUACAUCAAGAGCCUGCUUAAACCCAUACCAUUCUCUCCAUUACCUCUUUCUUUUGCGGUUGAAAGAAACUAUCUGCUCCAACCACCCAGCUUGCCUCAAACUUAAUAUGCAAACUGUCGUGUCGCCUGUGCCUUUUUAGUUACCCCAAUCCCAUUUCUAACUAGUGAUUUCCAAACUGGAGGAGGAAAGUGGCAGGGAUUUAGGUAUGCCUUAAAUUCAUUUCUUUCCAUCCAUCUCUUGUGUUUGGAAGAUGGACAUACAGAGUGGUUUGGUUUUUUUUUUUUUCUUUCCUUUUUAUUUCUUUUUCUCUUCGGAUCAGUUUAUGGUAUUUGGGUUUGCUUUUGUUUCUUAUUCUCCUCACCCAGCCUCCAUCUUCUUAUUCCCUCCUGUGAUUAGUCCUGUGGCAGGUGCAUCUUUCUUUGGUGCUUUGGAAAACACUAGGCCUUUAUUCAUAUUAAGUCCACAAUAUCAUAAAUGAAAUUUUGAUUUGGGUGUAGAGGUUGCCCUGCUUGUAAUAUGAAUCAUAAACACCAGCAAUGCAAUUUUAAGAAGCUGAUUUUUCUUCCCCUGAAGAAGGAAGGAAAAUAAAAUCUCAGCAUCUGCUAGAGUCAGACCACCCACCCCCCUCCCCUGCUUACUUACUCUGAACAAAGGCUAGGCAAUCUCAGUCCUUCUGAAUACUGUAUGAAAUUCCAGGCCACAUACAGAGCAUGUAUGGAAACAGAAUGUGCAGCAGGAGAUGGAUUGCACCGCUCGCAGUAUUUACGUAUCGGCAGCCCUGUUUGCGUACACACACAUACCGCACACUCGAGUGGGGGAACGGGGGGCUGGUGGUCUAGAUUUAUAUUUCCCAUCACUGAGCUCUAUCCUUUGGGAUCAACUUUGUCACGGGAGCACUGGUGGGGGUUUAUUACAGUGUAUGACAGCAGGUGUGGGGCUGUAUGUACACUGUACAUUCAUUGUCCUCCUGGCUCAGGAUUUAUACAGUCGCACACCCCUUCUUUCCAAGAGCUUACUUGGUGCACAGACAUUCAUAUAUCUAUAGGACGGGGUCCUGCGUAAGGCCCGUGGGGGCAGUGACAGGACCCUAGCCAUCUCAGCCAGUGCUGGAAGUACAUUGAAAGGAAUUUGAUUCUCAUACUUACUGCUUUUCAUUUUAAAAUUGAGAUUCUUUAAGAGACAGAAAUGGCCACUGAACUAGACAUUCUGGCCAUGCUAGAAGAAAUUCAGAUAUUUGCCAAUGUGACGGAGAACAAAUAAAGUAGAUGCAAAUGCUCCCUGAAGCUAUAAAUUUAGUCAAAUUGUCAAUUUAUUAAGUAUCUACUCUGGUCAAGGCAGGCUUAUCACCUAGUACUGUAAGGAACACAAGAGGGUUCCUACAAUUGAGAAGAUUUAGCUUCUCAGGAUGUAAAUGAUACAACUCCCCUCCCAUUCCCUUGGACCCUUUGUUUUCUGGU